rnacentral:rRNA from 1 species
AGUGAACGCUGGCGGUAGGCCUAACACAUGCAAGUCGAACGGCAGCACAGUAAGAGCUUGCUCUUACGGGUGGCGAGUGGCGGACGGGUGAGGAAUACAUCGGAAUCUACUUUUUCGUGGGGGAUAACGUAGGGAAACUUACGCUAAUACCGCAUACGACCUACGGGUGAAAGCAGGGGAUCUUCGGACCUUGCGCGAUUGAAUGAGCCGAUGUCGGAUUAGCUAGUUGGCGGGGUAAAGGCCCACCAAGGCGACGAUCCGUAGCUGGUCUGAGAGGAUGAUCAGCCACACUGGAACUGAGACACGGGCCAGACUCCUACGGGAGGCAGCAGUGGGGAAUAUUGGACAAUGGGCGCAAGCCUGAUCCAGCCAUACCGCGUGGGUGAAGAAGGCCUUCGGGUUGUAAAGCCCUUUUUGUUGGGAAAGAAAAGCAGCAGGUUAAUACCCCGCUGUUCUGACGGUACCCAAAGAAUAAGCACCGGCUAACUUCGUG